CCACGUAGACAGAUCAUUUCCAUAAUUUAAUAAGGAAUGAAUACGAAGGAUCAUUCACGAUGCAUGUGAUAAUCCACAUAGACAGGUUAUUCCAACAGAAUAAUAAAGAAUGGAAUCAGGUCAUGCAUAAUCCGCACAGACAGGAUAUUCCAACAGAAUAAUAAAGAAUGGAAUAACAGAAGAAUUCACCAUGCAUGUGAUAGACUGCACAGACAGGUUAUUCCAACAGAAUAAUAAAGAAUGGAACCAGUUCUAGCGUAAUCCGCACAGACAAGAUAUUCCAACAGAAUAAUGAAGUAUGGAAUAACAAAGAAUUCACCAUGCAUGCGAUAGACCACACAGAUAGGUUAUUCCAACAGAAUAAUAAAGAAUGGAAUAACAGAAGAAUUCACCAUGCAUGCGAUAGACCACACAGAUAGGUUAUUCCAACAGAAUAAUAAAGAAUGGAACCAGGUCUAGCGUAAUCCGCACAGACAAGAAUGGAACUUCAACUUUUCUUUCAUUUUUAAUUUAGUCUUGCAAGUAUUAUCAAACUUGCACCACCUCCCCUAAUAGUAAAUAAUGUGAAUCAAUAGUUUAAUCAUGUGAAUCAAUAGUUAUAAUCAUGUGAAAAUACGAAUUACAGUAUAGUACCUCCAUCUAUACCUCCAUUUUUAACUUAGUCAUGCAAGUAUUAUUAAUCUUGCACCAACUCCCCUAAUAGUACAAGAAUAUGAAUCAAUAGUACACACAUGUGAACAAAUAGUUAUAUAAACAAGUGAAUUAGUAGCAAUUAAUUGCUCAUUUAUCCGAUUAAUUACCCGAUUUAUCAAUAUAACCCCCAGACAUCAAUUAUCAUCGGAAUAGAUGUCGGUUUCCACUAACACUAAUAAUCCCAACACAAUGGAACUAUCAAAUUCAUCUUUAAUCAACACGAACUUAUUCAUCAUUAAUAUUAUGACUCACAAUAUUUAACAACCAGGUCGUUCCCAAGAAAGAGGGGGCUUUCCAAUAAGGAUUUCUCCUUAUUGGCGCGUAAUUAGAUGACCAAACCUCUCCUUG
rnacentral:lncRNA from 1 species